GAUGCAAUAGCAGUAGGACGGAUUUCGAGCCCAGAGCCUUUCUGCCUUCUUCGCUACAGCCCCUUGGCAGAUGACUGCCUUGUUUGCCACUGUGCUGGGCUCUGGGAGACAGUGCUCCCUACCCCCCGUGGAGGUUAUGCUGAAGAGACCAACACCUCACAAAGCCAAUGUGCAUGAGAACCACCCAAGUCUCUGGUGAAAAUGCACAUCUGAUGGUGAAAAUCUACCUGAGCUCCACAAACUCUGGUGAUGCCCUAGUGCCUGUCCCCGGGACCUCGCUUUGAGUAGCAAAGGCUAGAGGGUGAUACAGCUUCCCGUGGUCGCCUGCAGUAAUGACCUUCCUUUACUUGUAGAUACAUCGCUCCAAUCUCCGCCUCAGUCUUCACAUGGCCUUCUUUUCAAAUUUCUCCCGAAGACAUCAGUCAUUGUUUGAGGGUCCUCCCUGCUCCAAUAGGAUCUCAUUUUAAUGAGACUCCAUCGGCAAAGACCGUGUUUUCCAAUAAGUUUACGUUCAUAGAUGGAGGUAGGGGAUGAUGAGAUGGGGGGGCCGUAUACUUCAGCAUAUCUUUUUGAGGGACGCAGCUCAAGCCAUCACAUCUCCCUUAUCAAGGGCCUUUUAAAAAUUUCUGUAUAUACAUUUUCUUUCAUCCUAUUUGCAAUUUGCACAAUUUGUAAACCAAAAGGCCCUUAGUAAACUUGACAGUGGGUUCAAGCGGCCAGAAAUAAAGCUCCAGAGUAGUGUGGUUAAGAUAAGAAAUGAGAUGGCUUCUAAGGGAACAGGUUUAGGACACCUGUCAGCCACAGAAGGCAUGCACAUCUUAGUUGGAGACUGUGGUAUGAUGCCUUCCCUUCGUCCCACCCCCAGGCUUCUCACUCACAAGGCCAAAUGAGUUUUUGAUAAAUUCUUGGGUGGAGCUUGAAAGCAAAUUUAAUUUUCGUUAGUGCAACGUAUAAGCACAUUGUAAAAUUUGGACCGCAUUUUAAAUUUGUUUAAUCCCCCAAAGUUUCUAUGCUUCAUUUUCUUCUCUCUGGUUUACAAAUGUUAUGUUUGGGGGACCGGGGUGGCGCAGUCCAUUGAGCGUCUGACUCUUGAUUUCAGCUCAGGUCAUGACCCCACGGUCGUGGGAUCGAGCCCUCUUUCCCCGUGCUGAGCGUGGAGCC